ACUUAGAGUAAACAGCAUACGCAUAAAUCAAGAUUAUCGGUAUGGUAACAAUUGUAUUAGGCAGUGGAUGCGAAGAGAUAAAUGAUGGAUCAAAGAUUGGGCUCAUGGAAUUGUUUGACUCAAACAAGCAUCCAGCACUGAUCAAUGGAUCAACUCAACAGGGGCAGCGUCGGUAACGCAGAUUAUCAAGCCUUUUCUUUCACUCCAUGAGCCGAAGGGAAAAAACAAGAAAAGAUGGGUGUAUAAUGGUCUUUUAACAAUAAGCAAUACGAUCAUACAGAAACGACUCUACCCACCGGUCAUGGUUAUGUACAAGUUUGAGGAAAGUCAAAACACUUCCCGUUAACACAACAGCGAUAAGAGAAAAAUAUCUCUUCAUCUUUUGUUAGAAAUUCUUUUUCUAUAACCAAAUCAUUAUCUGUAUCUUUCAAACUUAUUCUUUCUUUUUCUGCUCCUGCUGCGUAUACAAAAAGAGAUCAACUUCUGGUUCCGCUUUAGGAUAGGUCCCGUAGCAGUUUAUAGUCUCGGCAAAGAUUGAGAAGUGGUGCAUUCAUGUUGAAUCUGUUCAGUUUGCGGGGACUGCCUUGGACUGGUGCUGAUGGUCAGCAAAAGGUUCAGUUAACGGCUGCAGAGUUGGAAUCACUUAGAUCGGAACUCGCUGAUAUUGAAGAGAGAGAAGCUCACAUGAAAGCUCGGUUGGAACAUAUCGAUGGGAUUUUGCGAUCGGCUCGACUUUCUGGCUAUUUGUACAUUCGAACCAGAUGGACAGCUUUACCCGGAGAACCUGCUCCUAUCGAUGAUACCAAAAUCAACGAUUGGCUUCCUCGAUUCAUUGUUCUUCACGGCCAAUGUAUAUUCUUCUAUUUACGCUCCACAGAUUUGAGCCCUCAGGAUUCCACCCUACUGUCCGAUGUGGUGGAAGUAGGUUCCUUGCCAAGUUUUACGAGAGAAGAUGAAGGAACACGAUAUUCCUUUUAUAUCUUAACUCGCCAAGGACUGCGCUAUGAAUGUUCACAUGUUUCUCAAAUACAGCAAGGUCAACUCAAGACUUACGGUGAGUUUGGAUGAGGGAUUGGGUGCGGUGCGGUGCGUUUAGCUUACUUUUUGUCUUACGCUACAGUAUCGCUACAGUAUCUAAUCUCACCGCCACCGCUGUUUUUACACUAACCGCAAGUAAACGCACCGCCCAUACAAACUCACCCUUAGUCUAUUUGGUGGACACCUGGCUAUCGGCUUUGCAGACAGGCUGCAAGGUGGUUUCUGAAUCUGAUGUUUUAGUUCCAAAUGGUUCAAGUAAAAAGUAGAAUCAUUUACAGAUUUUGUAACAGUAAGUUGUAAAUAUAAGGUGAAAGUUAUAAUUACUAACAAAUUGUCUAGUGAAUGUAAAUAUAGGAUGCCACUUUCCAUUAAUAAAACAUCAUCCAUCUUUGAGGAUUCCUUAAA